GAUGAACGCUAGCUACAGGCUUAACACAUGCAAGUCGAGGGGCAGCAUGAUUGAAGCUUGCUUCAAUUGAUGGCGACCGGCGCGACGGUGAGUAACACGUAUCCAACCUUCCGUACACUCAGGGAUAGCCUUUCGAAAGAAAGAUUAAUACCUGAUGGUAUCUUAAGCACACAUGUAAUUAAGAUUAAAGAUUUAUCGGUGUACGAUGGGGAUGCGUUCCAUUAGGUAGUAGGCGGGGUAACGGCCCACCUAGCCUACGAUGGAUAGGGGUUCUGAGAGGAAGGUCCCCCACAUUGGAACUGAGACACGGUCCAAACUCCUACGGGAGGCAGCAGUGAGGAAUAUUGGUCAAUGGACGAGAGUCUGAACCAGCCAAGUAGCGUGAAGGAUGAAGGUCCUACGGAUUGUAAACUUCUUUUAUAAGGGAAUAAAACCUCCCACGUGUGGGAGCUUGUAUGUACCUUAUGAAUAAGCAUCGGCUAACUCCGUG
rnacentral:rRNA from 1 species